UCCUGUCCUACAAUAUAUUAGGGCUGGCUGUCCUACCCACAAGGCAUCUGCAGACACCAAGGUGGCUCAGUCGGAAAGGAUUCUUCCAGGUUGGCAUUAUAUCAACCCACCUGCUUCUAGAAGGGAGAAAAAAAAAUCAGAAUCACUCAACCUGCAGAUUGCUGUCAGCUUGUGAUUAUGUGAAUGCAAUCCGGCCUUCAAACAGCUAUCCCAUUGGCAACAGAUCCUUAGCUGCAUUAACAUCAUGUUGUGCAUGAAUCAACAGGGGUCACCCUGGCUUUGUGCUGGCAUCUGAGGAAAAGCUCCUGAUUCAGAGACAUUUAGAACAUCUGACUUCGUGAUCUCGGCUAUGAGGUCUCAAAGUCAUCAUUUUUAUUCCUGAUGCUGGUUAUAUUGGUUCCAGUUGAACCAAAGGAACAUCACGAGAAGGAUGGCUAGUAAUCAGCAAGCAGGCAGUAGGCAAUCUCCCAUCAGCUCUGGAACGCCUCUCUGAUUCGACUGCUUCCUUUCUGCUAUGCAGAAUAACCAUCAAGACAGAAAGCCUGCCAAAAAAGGACAGAUUUCCUCUGAGGCCAGAUUUGGAGGCUACUGGAGAAGGAGCUUCUCAAAUGAAUGAUACAUAAGAAGAAAUGGAGAAAUGGAGAAAGUGAGUUGGACAAACAUUCCUAAUCUAAGAAAACACAGUAAGAAGGGGGCGAGUUGAUGGUUCCAUAUUGCUUAAAAAGAAAGUUUUAGAAGAAAAACAGCUGCUUUGAUGGAUGA